UAUAGAGCUACCUUGGGCUUUAGAAAUGAUGUUGUCUAACUCCCUAAUCUUAGAGAUGGGGAAACUGAGACCCAAAGUGACUUGCUCAAUGUUAUAUAGCUAGCAUUUACAUACAUGAAUGUACACAUACAUGUACACAUAUAUAAAUAUCUAUAAUCUUAUAUAUUUAAAUGCUGGCUAUAAUUAUAUAGGUAGUAAGUAGCAGACAAUGCUACUUGGACAAUGGAAGAAGGGAGGAAAUUGACUACUACCUUGCCUCUGAUCUUUCCUUUAGUGCCCCAGACCAUGGAACUAAAGGCUGAAGUGAUGGAGACCAUUAUAAAUUUAAUUAAGGAGAACUCCAAAUCAUUUUCAAUUCAUACGUCACUGACCAUUGAUGAUGACGACUGGCUGAAUGAUCUUAUCAAAGCGAUGUUGAAGAAGAUCCAAAGCCUCAAGUGGUCACAACAGGGGAAGGAGAAGUCCUUCUUAUACAGACUCAUUGGCUAUACCCUGAGGGGCUCUGAAGACCAUAGCUUCGUGUCUUUGAUGUUGGCUGAUAUACUAAAUGGUGCUCAAGAGGAAGAGCUGGAAAGAGAUCUGAGGCCCCAGGCUCCAGGAAGGAGGCACAUGUUAGAAAAAGUUAGAGUAUUAGAGCAUAGAAUUUUUGAGCAAGGGCUUCAGACUCUCCAGUCAGGAGUCUUCUUUCAAAAAAAAAUACUUAUUGGUAUCUUUUAUUUUUACAAUCAGCUUCAUUUCCAAGUAUAUUCCUCCCCCUCCUCUAUCCUUUCCGGUGAACCAUGCCUUGUACAAAGAAUAAAUAAGAAACAUAAAGCAGUUCAGCAAAACUAA
rnacentral:lncRNA from 1 species